UGCCCACUGGACUCUCUUCUCACACAUCAAGGACUUGGAAGACAGGUCCUGCUGAGAAGACAAACAUAAGAUGCUGCAAGUGAUGAUCUGGCGCGUCUCCGCCGCAGUCAACAAAGUUGAGGAGAAGGCGGAGCUUCGACGUGCUCGCUCCCGUGACGCCUGUGUGCCCGCUCCGACGCCCAGAUGUGCUGUUGACUCCCGCAGGAGAAUGAUGGAAGAUUCCCUUCUUGCAUAUUCAUGGAUUGGUUUCAGACACUUCAAUUAUUCAGCUGGAUGGAUUUUCUUAAGGAACCAUCCAGUGAACUGCUCACCUUGAAUUGAAGGAAACGCUUGAGCUACUUUGCUGUAGAGCCACAAGCUGUGCAGCGAGGAGGCAGAAUCGCACAGCCCAGCCUUUCACAAACAGCUGCUUCUAGUGCCACUAGAUGUAUUUUGGUGGGAAGGGGGUGGAAGCUGCUCCCUACACUUCUAAAUGUGCCAGAAAGUGUUAUCAGUUCAACAUUAAUGCAUGUGUCGUGUCUUACUUUCCAUUCCCCGUUCCUUUAUCGUUGUGUGUAUCAAUGAGAAACUGCUGCCGAAUUUAAAUGAGACAUCCUGUUGCUUAUGUCUGUUAGUGCGUCAUGAGGACAUUUUCUGAAAGAGUGAUUUGUGUAUUUCCUCCCUUAAUUGAAAAAACUUUUUUCCCCUAACAACUGAAUCAUAAGAAAAGGAAUAAUGGUAACACUUUACAAUAAGGUUCAAUUCAUUAACAUCAGUUAAUGCAUUAGGUAUUAUAGAAACUAA